rnacentral:lncRNA from 1 species
GGAGGGCGUUGAGGAUUCAUUUGAUGGUUCAGAUGAUUUGAUUCAACCUGGUGGAAACUUCACUUACGAGAUCGAAUUAAACGAUGAAAUAGGAACUCUGUGGUGGCACGCUAAGAGUGCCUGGGCCAGUGCCACCGUCCAUGGCGCCUUUAUCAUUUUGCCUGCUGCCAAUGAAGAUUAUCCUUUUCCUGCGCCUACUUCAGAUGAAACAAUUAUACUUGGUAUGAUCAAUACGAUCAUAUAUAAAUCUUCUAUUUUUGUUUAUAUAUAUAUAUUCUAAAGCUUAUGACAACUCUUUGGCAUAUUCCAGGACCAUGGUUCAGACAAGAGUUAACGGAAGCAAAUGAAACCAUUGCUCCUGGCCAAGCAGAUGCUUACACAAUCAACGGCCAUCCUGGAGAAACAUAUGGAUGCAGCAACGGUACGUAUAUAUGCACUGUUGUUUAUAUCAAACAGUAAAUAUGUACGACAUGAAUUUUAGCAUCUUCUUCCCUACGAAAACUUGAAAGUGGAUGGCUUGAUUUCUAGGAAACAGAGAUAGAGGGGAAGAGAAUAGAUGAUAAAUCCAAAUUCUCAUUGUCCUAAAAAGGCUUUGGCAAAUUAUACAAGUCUAAGAAAAUCCGAUCGGCAAAAAAAAUCCCAACACCGUAGGAUAAUAAUGACAACUUAUAUUAACUUAAUUUUUACUCUGUUGUACUAAUUUAUUUUCUAUGUCUCCAUGGGUUCAGAAAUGAGGGCAGUAUUGCAGUUAUAGCAAAUUAUAAGAAUGUUUUUGGGCCAAAACUCAUUAGAGUAUAUAUGCUGCGAUUUAUUUAUGUCACUUUUGAGUAUAAUUUUGAAUUUUGUUGUUUGCUUUUUAUUUAUUGCUCAUUGAGUGAAGAAAAUUACUAGUAAAUGCUACAAUCAGAUAGAAACAGAGACAAACCCAUGCGUAUUUUGCUUUACUUUAUAAAUGCUAACAUAUAUUUUUGUUGUUAAGCUUCCUUUGUAAUGACAAUAGUUUCAUGAUUAUUUCUUGUUGCAGAUACAACAUAUCGCCUACAAGUAGACUACGAGGGCAUUUACUUACUUCGCUUAGUAAAUGCUGUGGCCAACGAAACAAUGGUGUUUGGCAUCUCAUACCACAGCUUCACAAUUGUUGGACAAAAUGGGGCUUACACUAGACGCUCUUUUGCCACUUCUCUAACACUAGCCCCAGGCCAAACAAUCGACGUUUUGUUCUGCGGAAACCAAAAUCUCGGCCAUUAUUACAUGACUGCUCGACCGUCCUCUGGUAGACAUAUUACCACCGGUAUUGUACAAUAUACCACAACAGCUGGUUUUUGAUGUAAUUACUUUAGUUUCGAAUCCCAAGGAAAGGAUAUAAGAUUUGUUCCUCGAAUAAGAGAUUCAAUAGGGCAAACCACUAUAU